rnacentral:rRNA from 1 species
GGAAUAUUGGUCAAUGGACGGAAGUCUGAACCAGCCAUGCCGCGUGAAGGAUGACGGCCCUCUGGGUUGUAAACUUCUUUUAUGUGGGACGAAAAAGGGCCAUUCAUGGUCAACUGACGGUACCAUAGGAAUAAGCACCGGCUAACUCCGUGCCAGCAGCCGCGGUAAUACGGAGGGUGCAAGCGUUAUCCGGAUUUACUGGGUUUAAAGGGAGCGCAGGCGGACUGGUAAGUCAGUGGUGAAAGCCUUGAGCUUAACUCGAGAACUGCCAUUGAUACUAUCAGUCUUGAAUGUUGUUGAGGUUUGCGGAAUGGGUCAUGUAGCGGUGAAAUGCAUAGAUAUGACCCGGAACACCUAUUGCGAAGGCAGCAGGCUAAACAAAUAUUGACGCUGAGGCUCGAAAGCGUGGGGAUCAA